CCGUAGCGAACAGCUCAGUAACACGUGGCCAAGCUACCCUAUGGACGUGGACACCCUCGGGAAACUGAGGCUAAUCCGCGAUACGGCUCCCACGCUUGAAUGCGGGGAGCCGGAAACGCUCCGGCGCCAUAGGAUGCGGCUGCGGCCGAUUAGGUAGACGGUGGGGUAACGGCCCACCGUGCCGAUAAUCGGUACGGGAUGUGAGAGCAAAUAGCCCGGAGAUGGAAUCUGAGACAAGAUACCGGGCCCUACGGGGCGCAGCAGGCGCGAAACCUUUACACUGCACGACAGUGCGAUAGGGGGACCCCGAGUGCGAGGGCAUACAGUCCUCGCUUUUCUGUACCGUAAGGAGGUACAGGAAUAAGUGCUGGGCAAGACCGGUGCCAGCCGCCGCGGUAAUACCGGCAGCACGAGUGAUGGCCGAUCUUAUUGGGCCUAAAGCGUCCGUAGCCAGCCAGACAGGUCCGUCGGGAAAUCUGCACGCCCAACGUGCAGGCGUCCGGCGGAAACCAGCUGGCUUGGGGCCGGAAGAUCCAGGGGGUACGUCCGGGGUAGGAGUGAAAUCCCGUAAUCCCGGACGGACCACCGGUGGCGAAAGCGCCCUGGAAGGACGGACCCGACGGUGAGGGACGAAAGCUAGGGUCACGAACCGG
rnacentral:rRNA from 1 species